rnacentral:tRNA from 1 species
GGUAGUGUGGCCGAGUAUAGGUGGCGAGUUGUAGCCUCGUCGACUGGGAGUGAGCCCACGCUGCCAGGCC